GGUCGCUCAGUGGUAGAGUACUUGCCUUGCAUGCAUGAGACCCUGGGUUCAAUUCCUAAGCACCA
rnacentral:tRNA from 1 species